UACGGAGGGUGCAAGCGUUAAUCGGAAUUACUGGGCGUAAAGCGUGCGCAGGCGGUUUGUUAAGUCUGCUGUGAAAUCCCCGAGCUCAACUUGGGAAUUGCAGUGGAUACUGGCAAGCUAGAGUAUGGUAGAGGAAGGUGGAAUUCCCGAUGUAGCAGUGAAAUGCGUAGAGAUCGGGAGGAACACCAGUGGCGAAGGCGGCCUUCUGGACCAAUACUGACGCUGAAGCACGAAAGCGUGGGGAGCAAACAGG
rnacentral:rRNA from 1 species